AGUGAACGCUGGCGGUAGGCCUAACACAUGCAAGUCGAACGGCAGCACAGUAAGAGCUUGCUCUUACGGGUGGCGAGUGGCGGACGGGUGAGGAAUACAUCGUAAUCUACUUUUUCGUGGGGGAUAACGUAGGGAAACUUACGCUAAUACCGCAUACGACCUACGGGUGAAAGCAGGGGAUCUUCGGACCUUGCGCGAUUGAAUGAGCCGAUGUCGGAUUAGCUAGUUGGCGGGGUAAAGGCCCACCAAGGCGACGAUCCGUAGCUGGUCUGAGAGGAUGAUCGGCCACACUGGAGCUGGAACACGGUCCAGACUCCUACGGGAGGCAGCAGUGGGGAAUAUUGGACAAUGGGCGCAAGCCUGAUCCAGCCAUACCGCGUGGGUGAAGAAGGCCUUCGGGUUGUAAAGCCCUUUUGUUGGGAAAGAAAAGCAGCAGGUUAAUACCCCACUGUUCUGACGGUACCCAAAGAAUAAGCACCGGCUAACUUCGUG
rnacentral:rRNA from 1 species